GUGAGUCAUCGAAUCUUUGAACGCAACUUGCGCUCUCUGGUAUUCCGGAGAGCAUGCCUGUUUGAGUGUCAUGAAAUCUCAACCAUUAGGGUUUCUUAAUGGCUUGGAUUUGGGUGUUGCCAGUCUACUGGCUCGCCUUAAAGGAGUUAGCGAGUUUAACAAUGUCCUCUGGAGUAAUAAGUUUCUCUGGAAAGGCUUGUGAAGUUUGCUUCUAAUCGUCUUCGGACAAUUACUUUGACUCUGGCCUCAAAUCAGGUAGGACUACCCGCUGAACUUAAGCAUAUCAAUAAGCGGAGGA
rnacentral:misc_RNA from 1 species